GGUUUUCAUAAAUCUAAAUUAAUACGAAAGUGUAUAUGAAGAAUUAUUAAAGGGAUAGUCCGAGUCCUUGAUUGUGAUUGGCUGAGCCUCUAAGCCAUUGUAAAAUGCUGUAGAUAAUCUGUGGUUUACAGUGAAUUUAUGGUAUCUUAGUGGGUUUUAGUCACUAAGCUAAAAACACCCAUUAGCUGUUCUAAAUUCACUGUAAACCAUAACUUCUUGCUUAUUGCUUUGUAGCAAAACAGCAUGUUAACUAUCUAUUUACAGUGUUAUAAUUAAUGUUCCUUUAUUUUUUUCUGGGUCACAUGUAAUAUAAAAUAUUUUAUUUGCAGUUAGAAUGUUAAUGCUUCACUUUAUUUGUUUUAUGUGCAGGAUGUUCAGGAGAAAGAGUCAUCGCAAAGUCUCAUCAUCAGUAAGAAAAGGUUCACUUUUCAGCCAAAGUAGAGUAAAACUUGUGAAAUGGUUGGAAUUUAUUCACCGAUUUGCACAAGGUCUCCAACUCAGGCAAAUUGACCUGUUAGAGGAUCAGAUUGCCAGAAGUGCAAGAACUCUGUCGCGAAUGACAAAUGCACUUAGGAAGAUAUGCAUAGAUGCAAUACAGAGACUGAGAAGAAGAACCGGUCUUACAGUUGGUGGAAACUCAAGACGCAAGUUUGUUUCUAUUGAUGAGUCAAAGUUUGCACACAAA